rnacentral:misc_RNA from 1 species
GCCGGCUGUGUGAGGGGCGUGUGUCAGUCUGCAGAAUCAGCGUGGUGGUUGGCUACAGUGCUGAUUCAAACGGGACAGCAAUUUGUUUUUAGAUUAUUCAAACCUUAAUCAUUCUACCAGGUGUGUGUGUGUGUGUGUGUUUGAAGGCUGCUCCAUUGGAUGACUUGCUCUGAGUGGAUGUUUUGCUUCCUGUCUGAUGUGCUGUGAGGGAGGGAUGGUGGCUGGUGUGUUACGAGGAGUGCAGUAACACAACACCAGGCUGACACAGGUGGAAUAACAUCACAGGGAGUCACUCUUCUUUCCCUCUCAAGUCCAGCGUGCUUUGCCCUCCUACGUGAUGCUUUCAGUGGAUGACGAUGAUGAUUACUUCAUUCCCACCACCUCAAGUAACCUGCUCAACAGCAGCCGCCGCUUGGCCAUGCUCUUCAACCCUGAGGAGAUAAGCGGCAGCAGCGGAGGAGGCACAGGCCACCAUGCUGACCUCUCCACUAAUUUCAGGUUUGUGGCGCCUAAGCAGCCACGGCCAGGCAGGAGCAAUUCAUCUGCCUCAUCUGGCACUGGACAAGCCUCCAAGGACGGCCAGGAGGUUCUGCUUGACGUGCACCUCAGUCUGCUACCUCAAGGGGCAGAGAGGAGCAGAGCAGCCAGGACGGCAGUGAGCUGCCAGGUGGUGGGUAAUGCUGUGAGGAGGAGUUUCAUCCUGGUGAUGGUGGUGCAGGACAAAGGCGAGCUGUGGAGAGCUGCUAUUGACUCACAUCUACUUCUGGAGGUACUGGAGUGCUCCACUCUGAGAGUGACAGCUCACGGCAAGUCCCUCACACUGCUGGGAGAGGCACAGCGAAUUGAAGAUUUGGUGACACAGCUGGCCAUCUACCGAGCCGUCACCGGCAGUGGUCCUUCGCACCAGGACCUGUGUGUGGGCAAGGGCCAUGCGCUGAGUGAGGGGGACGUGGCCAAAGUUCACUGCAGCACCCACACCAUUACCUCUGCUGCCCUCAAGGGAGAAGUGAUUGAGAAUGUGAACGGCAUGAAGGUGACUGUGAGCUCAGCUGCAGAAGGUGGGUGGGAGAGCUACCUGGCGGGGGCAACAGUGGACUCCCACAGGCUGAUCUUCCUUCCCAAGCAAAGGGAUGGUAAGUGGUUGCCUCCAACAACAUUCCACAACAUAACAGUCUUGAAAGUAAAAACCAAAGGGAGCAAGGACAAGCCACCGCCAGCAGCAGGGUCAACACCACCCCCAGUCAGUAACAACACCAGUCUUGCUACACAACAACAACAACAGACAGUCACUUCCCAGGAUGCACCUCUUACUACAUCACCAAAUUUUACAGGUCAGAAUGGAGACACUGCUGAGUCACAAGGCCACAAUGCUCAGGAGGACAGGGAGGCAAGCAGGAAGGCCGCACUGGUGUCUCGCAUGGCUCAGCUUGGCACUCCACUCUUCCCUCCACUGCCCAGUGCCAAGGUGCCACAGUCCUCCGAGGGGACUGGCGAGGCUGCCGUGGAGAUGCAAGAACCAUCAGUAGAAGAGGUAUCAAUUCCUGCUGCCACUCCUACACCUUCUACCCAGAUUCCCGAGUCGUCCACCUCCACUAUUGUCUCUGCUCCUACUACUACUUCCUCCUCUGCUCUGCUUACUUCUACAUGUAUGUCUGUCCCUCCCACCGCUAUUGCUGCUGCCUCUCCAGUCUUCGUUCCCACAGUGCCUCAUCAGCACCAGACACACUCCCCAGCACUGGACUCCACCCUGGCACUCAGCAUCUGUCAGCUUGGGACAUCAGUGGCCAGGAUCUCAGACAAGGUUGAUCUGCUGCUGACCAAGGUGGAUAAGGUUGAGGCAGGAGGCUCCUGUGGCUCUGGCUCCCCAGCUCCCAGUGAUCCUGAGGCGCUGAUGGCCCUGGCAGGUGGCCUGGUGGCACACAAUGAGAGGCUGCGGGGAGAGGUGGAGGCCCUGGAGAGGAAGCUUUGUGAGAGUCAGACGUCUUGUGCUUCACUCCUGACCAUGAAUGCUGAACUUCUGGAGGAGAAGAGGGAAUUGCUGAGGAGAGAAGCUGAACAAAGGAAGGAGGAGGAGGAAGAUAAGCAGGAAGAAAGUGCUGAAGACUUAAAAGACAAAGAAGAACCAGUGAAGGAGCAACUAGAAAAGGACACCCAAACAGAGGCUGAGGAAGGAAACAGUGAGGAAGAGGACAAGCAGGGCCUGAUGGCAGAGCAGGUGAGGUCACUGGUCAAGUCAACCCUUUCUGGCCUGUUCCGUCACCUGUCUGACACCUUCAGUGAGGAGGAGCAACAUUCUCGGCCUGAGGUCCUGCGCACUGUGAAGUCUGGCCUGCAGGUGGCUUAUUCCACUUUUGUUGAAAACUUUGAGGAGAUAGUGGGGGUGGAGGAAACAGCAGCAGAAGAGGAAGAAGGAAGUGGAGAGGAACAAACACAGCAUGAAGAGGAUGAGAAAAGAGAGAACACGGAAAGCCAUAAUGUGGAGGUCAGGAGUGGAGAAAGUGAUCCAGGUGAGGAUAUUUAUGAAGACUUUGCCAGGGAGGAGAGGUGGAAGGAAAAGGAGGAGGAGGAGAAGGAGAAGGAGAAGCCAACAGAAAUACAAACCACACUUGAAAUUGAGUCCCUGAACCUGAAAGAAAACAAAUUAAUUAACACCAAUGAAAAAGAGGAUGAGGAUUUAAAGGAACCAACUUCCUUGUGGUUGGAGGAGGCAGAGGAGACACCAGAGGCAGAUGAUUAGGAAGGAAAGCAACAUAAGGAGGAGAGAGAGAGGAGGAAGUGGCAGACUUUAAGAAUGAAAUGUUGUAAGGAAAGAUGAACCAGUGAUGAAGAGAAAGGAGCAGGAGUAGAAGCAAGGUGGUGAAGGUGUUUUGUCCACACACCUCAUGUCCUGCAGUGCUCAAGAGUGUCUUCUGAGUGGCCUGGCCAGUAGCUCAUCAUUGCUCAAAUAUUAAAUCAUUGAUUUAGUCCCAGGUGUGGCAGAGGCUCGGCAGUAAUGAAAUAUGAGCUGUUGCCUUGCUGUGCUGUGUGUGUCCUCAUUCUGGGCUGUUGUUGCCCGGCUUGUUGAUAUUUUAAUGUAACAUUAAUUCUUUUUUUAAGGUAUUUAGCUUGUGUGAUUAUUGUUGCUAUGCAGAAAGAAGGAUGAAAAUAAUUAAUUCAUCUGGUAACAGUAAGAUUAGUAUAGAUUGGUAAUGUCUACAGAUGAAGAUUGUGUAGAAACAUGACAGCAUCAAACUGUCUUACUAAACCAAAGUGGUGAGAGUCAUUAUGCUUCACCCAGGGGUUCAUCACCACAGUGUACAGUUUCUCUGUCUACCCUCCGAUGUCAUGGUUACAGAGUGUUAGGUGCUACAGUUUUACGCAGGAGAGCAUUGACCAGGGAACAGUAAACAAGUCCUUCCAUUUGAUCUUCAGGAUAAAGUUUCCCAUUCAUGGAAGUUUGAACAUUUGCAUAUCUUAUUGUCCCUCCUCUCAUUGUGCAUCAUUUCCAUGAUCACUCCCCACAAGUCUUUCACUCAUCAUGAAGGAGAGGACAUGUCACUCACAUAAUGAUCUGAUUACAAAGAUGCAAAGAAAGAAGCCAUUCCAUGUGCAGCCUUAGCCGUGCUUUUUCCUGCUGCAGUGCUCUUCAGGUAGUGAGGUGUCAGUUAUGCGGCAUAUGGAAAUGAUUGAGAUUGGGAUCAUGUUAUACAAGUGGUCUGGAGUUUCCAUCGUGCUCCACCUUUUGCCGAGUUUACUUCAAGGAAAAAUUGAAGGGACUAUUAAUAUUUCUGUUUCAUAGAGGUAUCUAUAUCAGUUUUCAGUUCCUCUCUACUAUUUUGCUAGAUCUGAAUGUCUCAUAUGACAUUAGAAUGUGAUAUUUGAUAGGCUGUGGGAUAAAAUCAUCUACAAUAAGGAUAAAGACAUCCAUCUGUUGUUCCCUUCCCAAAAUUAGAUUACAUAUUUUCUUCAUGCGUAAUACAUGGAUAGGAUACCCUGCCUUUCAACAAUCAGACUUUAUGAUCUGUUAAGAUUAGACAGACAUUAAGUUAGCUAGUCAAUCAUUUUAAGUUUUAAGAAACCAAAUAAGUAUCAUCUUACUAUAAUCAUUAUCGUCAUAUUGUCAUCUUGUUAUAUUGUUGCUAGAAUUUGUAUGAAUUUGAUGCAUUGUUGUUUUGUUUAUUAGGUGUCACAAAUUGUCAUACAAGAUGGACUGCAGUGUUCACCUAUAGCUGCAGCGGUCAGGUCGGUGCGCAUCAUUGAUUCAGAACAAUCCAAAUUUUAGUAGGAAUUAGGAAAAGGUGAUUAAUUUUGUCUUGGUACAUUUUAAUCGGCUCCACAGUAAUUUGAAUUAUUAGUUUAUUGACAUUUUUUUCUUAUUAAGGUAAAUUGUUAAUUGAUUGGCUACAUACAUAUCCAAUAUAUUUGGUUUUGAUAAAGUGCCAAAUUUUGAGUUUGAAAAACUAAAAGAUUUAUUCAAUGUCUUUCCUCAGUGCAAUAGUCAUAUUUUCUUGAUUAUUGUUAUGUAUUCAGUUUUUAUUUUUUACUUUUUCAGUAUCCACAUACCAACAUUGGCAGGUGCUACUGAUGUGGUACUUUGUUUCCUUUGCAUCACGAGGGGAGAUUGUCAUGUUUCAUAUUUAUUUCAUUGGUAAGGAUUUGUGGGAUCAUGGUGUGUGUUUCAGAGAGCAUCAUGAAGUACAGCACACUAAGCAAAGCAUUCCUGGCUCACAAGUAUUAGUUGUUGGGUCAAUCCAAAAGUAUUUUGUUUACUGUUUAAUGUAGUUUUGUACAUUUAAUGAUAAACAACAAAAAAUUAU